rnacentral:rRNA from 1 species
UACGGGGGAUCCAAGCGUUAUCCGGAUUUAUUGGGUUUAAAGGGUGCGUAGGCGGAUUGAUAAGUUAGAGGUGAAAUGUCCGAGCUUAACUCGGGAACUGCCUCUAAUACUGUUGAUCUAGAGGGUAGAUGCGGUAGGCGGAAUGUAUGGUGUAGCGGUGAAAUGCUUAGAGAUCAUACAGAACACCGAUUGCGAAGGCAGCUUACCAAUCUAUAUCUGACGUUGAGGCACGAAAGCGUGGGGAGCAAACAGG